rnacentral:rRNA from 1 species
AUUGAACGCUGGCGGCAUGCCUUACACAUGCAAGACGAACGGCAGCAUGAUCUAGCUUGCUAGAUUGAUGGCGAGUGGCGAACGGGUGAGUAAUACAUCGGAACGUGCCCUGUAGUGGGGGAUAACUAGUCGAAAGAUUAGCUAAUACCGCAUACGACCUGAGGGUGAAAGUGGGGGACCGCAAGGCCUCAUGCUAUAGGAGCGGCCGAUGUCUGAUUAGCUAGUUGGUGAGGUAAAGGCUCACCAAGGCGACGAUCAGUAGCUGGUCUGAGAGGACGAUCAGCCACACGGGGACUGAGACACGGCCCAGACUCCUACGGGAGGCAGCAGUGGGGAAUUUUGGACAAUGGGGGGCAACCCUGAUCCAGCAAUGCCGCGUGUGUGAAGAAGGCCUUCGGGUUGUAAAGCACUUUUGUCCGGAAAGAAAUCGCACUUACUAAUAUUAGGUGUGGAUGACGGUACCGGAAGAAUAAGGACCGGCUAACUACGUGCCAGCCGCCGCCGUAAGAC